AAGUCGUAACAAGGUUUCCGUAGGUGAACCUGCGGAAGGAUCAUUAACACUAAUGAAAUCCAAAACCUUUUGGAUCAACCCAACCUUAGCGAACCGUUCGUUUUUUUUCCCUUUGCCCAUCAUUUUAUGAAACGCAAACAAAUCUGAUGUAAAAGUGUCUGAUUCUUAUUCCCGUUUUUCUUAAUCGAAAAGCUGGAAUCAAAAAUCUAACGCAAUACAACUCUUAACAACGGAUAUCUUGGCUCUC
rnacentral:misc_RNA from 1 species